rnacentral:tRNA from 1 species
UUUUCUCAAAGGCUUUUUUGGGGGUUUAGCUCAGUUGGUUUAGAGCAUCGGCUUUGCAAGCCGGGGGUCAAGGGUUCGAGUCCCUUAACCUCCAUUUAUUUAUUGUUAAAUAGGUAUGCAGCCUUUUAAGAAAUGGCUUUGUUUUAUAUUGAGUGAAUGAAUUUUUCAUGGCUUUAAAAGAUGUGUUUUUAUGUUGUUUGUUGUCUUGAUGAAUUGCUUUUUAUGAAUUCCAAAACUUGAUUACAUGCAAAAAGUUUAUCUCUAAUUAUUUUAUUAAGGUUAUUAAGGACCUGAUCAUGAAUCAACCUAAU